rnacentral:rRNA from 1 species
UCAGUAGGCGGUGCGGCAAGUCGGGAGUGAAAUCUCUGGGCUUAACCCAGAGGCUGCUUCCGAAACUGCUGUGCUCGAGUGUGGGAGAGGCGCGUGGAAUUGCAGGUGUAGCGGUGAAAUGCGUAGAUAUCUGCAGGAACACCCGUGGCGAAAGCGGCGCGCUGGACCAUUACUGACGCUGAAUGACGAAAGCUAGGGGAGCAAACAGGAUUAGAUACCCUGGUAGUCCUAGCCCUAAACGAUCAGGACUUGGGGUGUCGCCCGUUCGGGCGUCGUCCGGAGCUAACGCGUUAAGUCCUGCACCUGGGAGUACGGUCGCAAGACUGAA